rnacentral:lncRNA from 1 species
UAUUACUCAGCCAUAGAAAAUAAUGAAAUCUUGCCAUUUUCAAUGACGUGGAUGGAACUGCAGGGUAUCAUGCUAAGUGAAAUAAGUCAGACAGAGGAGACAAAUGCUAUAUUUUUAUUUACUUACACAAGGAACCUAAAAAAACAAACAGAUGAACUUAUAUAACAAACAGGAACAAAGAACAAGCCAGUAGUUGCCAGAAGGAAAGAAGGGUAGAGAAUGGGUGAAAUAGGUGAAAGAGAUUAAAAGGUACAAUCUACCAGUUAUAAAAUAAACAAAUCACAGGGUUGUAAUGUACAGCCUAGAUAAUAUAGUUAAUAGUAUUGUAAUAAUUUGGUAUGGUACAUAAUCUAUGAAAAUAUCAAAUCACUAUGUUAUAUAUCCAAAACUAAUAUAAUAAGCCAACUAUACUUUUAAACAAAAAGAAAUAUUUUUUAAUAAACAGCAUUAUAUCUUCAUUGUGAGAUCUGCAAAUUUCUGCUAAAUAUGUCUGGCUACUUUUAGUUGCCAAUGGCUGACAGAGCAGUUACUAAAAAUUCUCAAAAGAAAUUUAACUAUGCUUAUAAGGAAUGUUUUCUUUCAUUUUCAGUGACUGCCAUCGAUUUUCUUGGUAAAAGGAUCCAUUUAUAUUUGUCAAUGAUAUUCUAGUAAUGCUUGCAUACCUUAUAAAGAUUGGGAGCUGAGACAUCUACCCUGCCACUUAAUGCACUGUGAUCCUCUCCUUCCCUUCUCUCAUCUUACUUAGGAAUCCAAAAUGUGAAUCAGGAAGCACAUACAUUGGCAGAAAAUGGCAGAGUAUAUUGGAGAGUAUAUUAAAGACUUGGGUGAAUAAUUUAAUGUCUUGUUCUAGCAGUAUGGACCAAAUAGACAACUGAAGACUAUCAUCAAUUAUUUUAGCUAAUCAUAUUUCUUUCUACUGACACAACAAAAUGUUCUAAAAGCAAUAUUUUUUUUUAGAAAACCUUUUCAACAGAAAAAUUAUUUAGUCAUGCAUCAUUUAUCUAGGAAAACCUAUGCAUGGAAUUUUAUUUCAUUUGACCUUGAAGUAUGUUUAUCUGACUGACAAACUUGAGCUAAGUCAGUAUCUUGUGCUAAGCUGGACUUUCUCCAGACACAAAAAAUAAAUAAGGUUGAAAACAAUUGGUGGGGAAGGAUUUCUUUUAUAUUUCCUGAAUAUUUGGUAUCCUCCCCCCAAAACAAAGCAAAACAAAAUAAAAACAACCCAUGAUUUUUUGGGAGUUGGUUGGACAGGUAGGUACAUUUAUGAUUUAAGAAACUAAUAAUGUCAAAUCAACAUUAAGAGAGAACUUGAAAUGGAAAUACAUUUUACUUUUUUGUAAACAGGCAUUCAUUAUCUGUCAUGCAAAAAGUCCAUAAUAAUUACUGGCAUAUGAAAUGCGCUGGAUUAUUUGUAUUCAAGCGAAAUGCUAGCCAGUGAAAACUAUUUUUUAUACUUAGCUUACAUUUCCACAUUAAAAAAGCAGAAGCUUUUUCAAUUUGUUUACCAUAUUUUUAUAAAUUAUAAGAUUUUAUAGAAAUAAAAUAUAUAGAAAUUUAAUAAAUAUAGUAAGAUCCAAAAAUAUAACAUUUUCUAUGACAGAGGUGGUGACAAAGACUUUAAAAUGUUCUGUGAUCCCUUUAACUAGUUAUAAAAUAGCCCAUCCCUAAGAUUAAUUUGAACCUACUAUGACUUAUAAAAUAACUGAAUGUGCAACCAACUUUUUAAAGGUCACAGGGAAUUGAAAAGGGGUGGAUGCAUAAAAAAGGCUUCCUUUUUUUUUUUUUGAUAUGAGUUUUUCUCUAAAGCUUUAGAGAAACCUUUGGCCCAGAAAGUAGUUGAGUAGGGAUUAAGUUCUUGCAGGGAGAAAAAAAAGUUUGUUCCCUGAAGGUAUUAUAAGGAUCCCAGCUGUUGGGGUACAUACUCCCUGGUUAUGAUUGGCACUGAAAUGUCAAAGCUCAAAAUCCCAAACCACUAAAUUGCCUGCCUUAAUCAGGCAAGCUUGUUUACUCACAUUGUUCUGGAUCAGCCAAGAGCUGCUUAUCCAAGUUUCUCUCAUUCUUUAGGCUGGGUAGACACCUCCCCUUGCCCUUCAAUUGUACAGUUUUUUUGUUUUUUUUUCUUUCCCCCUCAAAAAGAGGUGAUUUUUUUUCUGCUAUACUUCUUUAUAAAACUUUUGCUUAUGAAACUCUUCUGGAAAAACUACACAGAAAAUGAGGAAAAGAAAUAUGACAACUAGAACUGAUCAAGCAAGAGUAUAAUUUGACUUUGUAUAUCUAGAUUUGUCAGAGGAGACAUUUAGAUACAUAAAAAUUUAAUAAUGAUUCAUAAUAAUAGCUUAUAUAACAUAAAAUACGUAAUUUCAUACAUGCAUAUGAUAUAGAUGUUCUAUAUCUAUGUAUAAAAGAGGAUUUAUAGCCUGUGAGGCAGGUCUUGAAAGCUAUUUACAAGGGAUAUAUUUUUAUUAGACUUGAUUCUUCAGUAGGUAUGUCUUAUACUUUUAAAAUUUUUGGUGAUUAUAGACAGUCUGAUCAUUCAAAAAAAAAAAAAAGCUUCUUUGUUGAUUUAUCCCAAUGAUGGAGUAAGACUUUUUCUUCAGUUCUAAAACAGCCAAGUAAAUUGUUCUAAGCACUUUGCACGUGUUAUUAAUUAUCUAAAAUAAAAGUUUGCAAGAAAAAAUUAACUCCACUAUUUCCAUUGUCCUAUAAACCAGUGCACUUUAAUAUGCAUCACCUGGAAGGACUAUAAAAAUGAGUAUUCCAAAUCAGGAGGUACUGGGGAGGCCCUAAGAUUCUCUAGUCCUAGAUGAACUCCUAGCUACUGCUGUUGCUGCUGCUGCUAUUGUAUGGAUCAAACUUUGAGGAAUGAGGUUGUAGUAGUGUUUCAAGUAAUUUUUUCAUGCUCCUGUAUACAGCCCUGUGUGGAUCUCACUGUUUUUCUGGUUAGCUGCAAGUUUUUCAAAGUCGAGGCAAGUGCAAACAACCUCUCAUCUUAAGCUGCUCUCCCCAACAAUUCUUUUUUCUUUUCUUUUUUUUUUUUUUUUUUUUUUUUUUUUUUUUUGAUAAUGGCCCCAGACUCAGAGAUAAUAAUUCCAGGUAGCAGCAUCAGAAGUAUCACUUUAAGAUUAUAGGAAGAAAAAAAAAAAGCUUAGUUGUGUUGAAAAUGAAAAUCAUCAUGGGGUAAUCCUAGUUCAGGGAAGCAAAACGGAGUUAGGUGGCCACUGAAGAUCCAGUUCCAGACAUGUUUCUCACCACUGAGAACUUGACCGUUCUAAACCUUACUAAAUCACAACCUCCUAAAGACCACCAGCCAUUUUUGCUUUUUGUUUUUUUAGAACAACAUCUAGGUCUCAAGGUUCCCCUUUGCAGAUAAAUAACCAUUUCUGACCUCAACCAAUACUUGCUUAAUAAGCAUUCUCCUUGCCAGCUCCAAUCACAAUUUGGGACACAGAGCUUCUGAACUAACUGUGGCCUUGUGGUCUUUGCCUUUAUAAGCCACCUUCAGUCUGUAGUCCAAAGGAACACAACACAAGUUCUUCUCAUAUCCAUGCUUCUUAGGCUGAAGUCCAACAAAGACCAAAUAAAUGCCUCUUUAUCUCAAUCUGGUCUUCACUUCUGAAAAUGUUUGUUAACACUUGCUUAAUAUUGGCAUAAUAUGACAUUGGUGGCCACUUGUGUGUCAGCUAUCCCAAUAUUUAUUCUACCGGGAGUUUUUAAAAAAAUCCAUUUCUGGCUAGAGUAAGACCAUAUUGUUAAACUACUGUGUAGUUUUCUUAGUGUGUGCACAAAGUAUGGUUUUGUUGAUUUAUUUUAAUUUUAUUGGAGUAUAGUUGACUUACAAUGCUGUGCUAUUUUCAGGUUCACAGCAGAGUGAAUCAGCCACAAAUAUACAAAUAUCCAUUACUUUUCAGAUUCUUUUCCAUAUAGGUCACUGCAGACUUCUGAACAGAUUUCUCUGUACUAUAUAGUAGGUCCUUAUUACUCAUCCAUUUCACAUAUAGUAGUGUGUAUAUGUCAAUCCCAACCUCCCAUUUCUUCUCUCUUUAAAAUGCUUCCUCCUUGGCACCAUAAGUUUGAUUUCAAAAUCUUUGAGUGUGUUUCUCUUUUGUGAAUAUGUUCUUUUGUAUCAUUUUUAUCAGAUUCACAUAUUAGUGAUCUCAUAUGAUAUGUAUCUUUGUUUGACCCAGAAAUAUUGCUUAGUCAUGAGAAGGAACAAAAUUAUGUCAUUUGCAGCAGCAUAGGUAGACAUAGAGAUUGUGUAGUUUUUAUCCAUGGAAUCAUGGCAAAUUUGUUAUGAAACCAUGGAGGAAAUUCAGGGUACCCCAUAUUUAAAUCAGACUAAUACCUAAUUGCAAUUCACAUACACUGCACACUCUUGCAGUGGACUUCUUUCGAUGGACAUUUGUGGGACAUAUAAUUUUCUCAGGCUCUUUGCCGAUUCUGAAAUAUCCAACCUCAGCAUAUAUUCUAUCCAAAACUCCUACUGCUUAUUAACUAUUUGCCAAAAUUGCUUCUUUCUUCCAGUCCCUGCAUCAUCCAGCUAGACUACUAGCAACUAUAUAAACUCUUAUAGUUCAUGAACUUUAGUUUAAGAGUUUUGAUUUCUCAAUAUCAUUUAGUAUAGAUCAGCAAUGGGCCCAUCAAACUGUUUGGAUCCUUAUCCAAAAUUAGCAAAUUGACUCAUAAGCUCUCUCUAUAUCAAAUAGUUCCAAAUGUGAAAAAUUAUGUCUCACUCAUCUUUGUUGAGCAUCUUCCACAUCCUAUCUCUACAAAUUUGCCAUACAUGUUUUAAUGAUGAAAAUUGGCAAAAAGCCUUAAAUUCCUUAUGUGCAUAAUAUUUUUAUCUCUUGCUCUUACUGUAAAUUUUACUGAAAUCUUCCAUUCCACCCAAGGCCCUGUUGAAUAUAUCCCAUUCAUUUGCCAUUCAAUAUUCAGCCACUGAGAAGAAACUUCACCUAGGAAUGUCUUCAGUCAAGGAUGACACUGUAUUUCUAAAAGAGAUGCAUAGUUAGGAGUUCAGGCUCUGGUAUAGUGAGUUAAGGAUCUGGCACUGUCUCUGCAGGCAACUCGGUUGCUGCUGAGGCAUUGGUUUGAUCCCUGGCCCUGCACAGUGGGUUAAGGAUCAGGGGUUGCUGCAUAGGUUGCAACUGUCUCUGAUUUGAUCCUAAGCCCAGGAAUUCCAUAUGCUGCAAGUUUGG